UUUGGUUGAAACUACCGGCUGCAUAAAUAGUAACACAAGUUGCGAUCUGGCAACUUGUCAUUCAUUUGAGAAUUUUUUAUUCUAAAUCUACAAGUUGUACAUCACAUAUAAUUGUUUGUACAUUUGUGAUAGUGUUUACCACCAUUUAAAACUUUUCGUCCACAUUCUACCCUGAAGUUGUUACGUCUUGUCAAGUUUAACCCAGUUUAACAGUUUGUCCCGACCAGCUGGUUCACUUGUCAGGCCAACAAGGCUGGUUACUAGCAUUUCCAACUCAUAAGUGUACGGCCAAGCGUGUCUUUUUUUACCUGCCCAACCCGAUCCACAUCCAUGCUCUCAGCCCUCCCAAACCGCAACACCGCCCGGGACAGCAGCUAAUCCGAUGAUGGCUAAUGGUGAGUUGUGUCGUCACCUCACUAUUCAUUCUUCUGUUCUCUGUUCAUCUUCAAGCCACCUCUCGUGGCCUCGUAGAGUGGCCUCAUCGUCGUGACAUAUUGUAAAAACUUCUGGAUAUGUCUCAGGCAGAAGGAACUAAAUGGGGUAAACAUUGGACGCGGAGUUUGUGAACUCGAGUACACAGGCGCUCGUUAUCUGAGCGGUUGGGUAUAGCCUCGCGAUUCGCCGCAUUUAAUGCGCGCGACAGGCUCGGGUUCUGCCAAAAAUAGGGAAAAUGAGAUAUACGUACACAUGCAGACCUGAGCAGUGGGCCAUGUCUCGCACAGAUGAUGAAACGCCGUCGAAGAGUGGGAACAGAGCCGUGGCUCGAGACGUCAAUGUCGUCCUGAUCCGUGGCUCGGGUUUUCUGCUUUCCCAGUAACUGCGAGAACCGACAGUAGCCGAGUAAAUGCAAAGGGGUCGCUGGGAGCAGUUGUCUUCUACCUCAUGAGAUUGGAUCCUUCCUUUGUCGGCGAUCUCGGCGACCUAUGGCGUGCGAGAAGAUGCCUGCGGCAACCCGCGAAGAUGGAGUUCUUUGAUGCAGCCCAUUAAGAGACGGCAGACCUCCCCAUGGAGCCGCUUGGGCUGCUGCCCAUGACGGCAGCAAGUGCGGACGGCCAGAUCUGUGCCGCAUAAAUGGCGGCGGGGACAGGGAUUGAAGUUUCCGCUCAAGCAUCCGAGCAAUCUGUAGAGCAGAUCGACCUCAAAGCUCCUGGGUGAAUGCAAAGGUAUGGCUUUGUGACGAUUUAGAUUCUGUGUGACAUAGUUCGUGGUGUGUGUUUGAAUGACCAAGAGUUGAAACACUUAAUGGUUACAUUUGCACUAUGGCUGGUGCGCUGUGAGCAAAUAAUUGAUUUCCUGUAUGGUGUUUGUGCCUGCGUGCUGCUUGAGCCAGGCUGAAUUUUUAAUCAGGGAGUAAUUUAGAGUCUUUGCUGUAUGUGAUAGCUCGGCAAUUUAGUUUUUGUCUGGCUUUAUGUUUGCAUCGACUAUUUCUGUCUGAACACUGUGAUUUACAUUUGGAUGAGGAGAGUAAUUUGCAUUUGUUCGUUAUCCAUUUCUGUCCGAACACCGUGAUUUACACCCAGAGUCAGAAUUGGGGUUGCCGAGCCAGGCAGGGGAAAAUGGGGAAACUAAGUGAAAGUGUUCUGGCCGGUUUCUGGGAUACUCAUGAAACUGCCGUGCAUUUGUAAUUUUAUCAAAAAAUAGUGUUAUUUGCUCGCAGAGUUAGGAUUUAUGCUGCCGCGGCAGGCGGGACACAGUGUCUGGUAUUUUUGCACUGGAGAAAGCAAUCCGUGGUUCUGCUAAAAAUCUUGGAGAUAAUGUAAUCGUGCCAAAAUUGGGGACAAGUUUUGAUACUUCGGAUGAAGCCUAUGAUCUUCACAACAUAUACUCUUGGGAGAAAGGAUUUGGCAUUAGGUACGACAAAAGCAGGCUGAACGUGGAGAGGACAAAAUGCAUGCAAGAAAUAGUCUGUGGCCGUGCUGUAUGUAAAAAAUGCUUUUGGUAUUGCUGAACACUGCUAGCUACUGAAUUGUUCAUUACUAAACUUAUUUCUCAUUGUGUACAAAUGGGCAUCAGGGGAAGGCGUUCGUGGAGAACACUAAGUCUUGUCGUUGUGAGUGCCCUGCUCUGAUAAGGCUGCAGCGUUCCAAUUCCAUGGACAACGGUUGGUACAUAGCAGAUAAAAGGUGCCAUACGAAGGUUUCAUCAAGAAAAUAAGAUUUUGAAUCAUUUAUUGGUGGCAGAGCACAAGCGGACGACAUGCCCAGAUUGUGGAGAUGUUCCAAACCAAGCUCGGAAACCUGCACACUGCAAGAAUUGUGGGGUAGAAGGUCACGGUCGAAACAACUAGAACAAAACACCGGAGCUAAGAAUGAAUGGAAGCUGAUUUGAAAAAAUAGUGUUGAAAUGUGCUCGUGUAGUUUGAAUGUUGCGUGUUUGGAAAAUCUUCAGUUAUGUUGUACUAUUACUUUGACUAUGCCUGCAAACUGUUCAGACAAAAUUGUUUCUGCAUGUUUCGAAUCGGAGAUGUGUUGUGACAUUACAUUAGUUCCAUAUUUUUGACAGGCAGUUUCCUGAAUAAAACAGUGGUGGUCUUAA